GAUGAACGCUGGCGGCGUGCCUAAUACAUGCAAGUCGAGCGAACAGAUGAGGAGCUUGCUCCUCUGACGUUAGCGGCGGACGGGUGAGUAACACGUGGAUAACCUACUUAUAAGACUGGGAUAACUUCGGGAAACCGGAGCUAAUAACGGAUAAUAUAUUGAACCGCUUGGUUCAAUAGUGAAAGACGGUUUUGCUGUCACUUAUAGAUGGAUCCGCGCCGCAUUAGCUAGUUGGUAAGGUAAUGGCUUACCAAGGCAGCGAUGCGUAGCCGACCUGAGAGGGUGAUCGGCCACACUGGAACUGAGACACGGUCCAGACUCCUACGGGAGGCAGCAGUAGGGAAUCUUCCUCAAAGGGCGAAAGCCUGACGGAGCAACGCCGCGUGAGUGAUGAAGGUCUUCGGAUCGUAAAACUCUUUUAUUAGGGAAGAACAAAUGUGUAAGUAACUAUGCACGUCUUGACGGUACCUAAUCAGAAAGCCACGGCUAACUACGUG
rnacentral:rRNA from 1 species